GAGGUUAUAUGCUGUAUAUUGAAACCAUCAAUUCCCAUCAGAUCACUGAUGUUAAGCAAUAUCAGGCCUGAUCAGUACUUAGGAACACUAAAUGCUACAAGCU